AACGCGAAGAACCUUACCUGCCCUUGACAUGCCAGGAAGUCUGCAGAGAUGCAGAUGUGCCUUCGGGAACCUGGACACAGGUGCUGCAUGGCUGUCGUCAGCUCGUGUCGUGAGAUGUUGGGUUAAGUCCCGUAACGAGCGCAACCCUUGUCCUUAGUUGCCAACGCGUAAUGGCGGGAACUCUAAGGAGACUGCCGGUGACAAACCGGAGGAAGGUGGGGAUGACGUCAAGUCCUCAUGGCCCUUAUGGGCAGGGCUACACACGUGUUACAAUGGUCGGUACAGAGGGUUGCCAACCCGCGAGGGGGAGCUAAUCCCGAAAAACCGAUCUCAGUCCGGAUUGAGGUCUGCAACUCGACCCCAUGAAGUUGGAAUCGCUAGUAAUCGUGGAUCAGAACGCCACGGUGAAUACGUUCCCGGGCCUUGUACACACCGCGAGC
rnacentral:rRNA from 1 species